rnacentral:rRNA from 1 species
CCUACGGGAGGCAGCAGUAGGGAAUAUUGCUCAAUGGGGGGAACGCUGAAGCAGCAAAGCCGCGUGGAGGCUGAAGGUUUUCGGAUUGUAAACUCCUUUUGUUCGAGAAGCUAAUGACGGUAUUUAACGAAUAAGUAGGGGAUACCUACGUACCAGCAGCGGCGGUAAUCGGGAGGGUGAAAGCGUUAGUCGGAAGCACUGGGCGUUAAGCGCGCGUAGGCGGGAUAGCAGGUCAGAGGUGAAAUCCUAUGGCUUAUCCAUAGAACUGCAUGUGAAACGGUUAUUCUAGAGUAUGGGAGAGGUAGGUGGAAUUCGUGGUGUAGGGGUAAAAUCCGUAGAGAUCAAGAGGAAGACUCAUUGCGAAGGCGACCUUCGAGAACAUAACGGACGCUGAUGCGCGAAAGCGUGGGGAGCAAACAGGAUUAGAUACCCCGGUAGUC